UUAUGUUUCAACAUGAGGUUUAGAGGGGACACCGAUCCAGACCAUAUCAUCACCCCAGGGAUUCUGACUCCCCCAGAUCUGCAGUGGGGCCUAAGGCUCUGUAUUUCUAACAAGCUCCCGGUUGAGCCCAAGCUGCUGUUGUUCCUAAGCACCGCUGACCAACGCUACGUGCUCGUUCAACCCCCUCAAGGUGCUCUGAAGAUUCCUCGAAAAUACAUCUCAGAAAUUCCUUUGAUAUCCCGGAUUAUUCUCCAGCCUACCUAGUUAUAAAUGAAUCUGCGUGUGUCUCAGUCUGUGCUGAUAAGACGGAUGGAGUCCUCCUUUCCUUACAGUAACGGUCUCACUGUUUUGCCCACUGACACUGGUCUUGAACUCCUGGGCUCAAGCAGUCUUCUCGCCUUAGCCUCCCAAAGUGCUGGGAUCACAGAUGAGAGCUACCGAUCCCAGCUAUCAUUGUUCUUAAUCAAUGGUAGCAAUGUUUUUUUUUAAUGGAGGGAGGGGUAAAAUUUGUCAGUUAUAUGUUUGUUUGUUGAAUGCAUGGGCUCUGAGGAUUAGACACCAGGCACUGUGCUAAACACAUUGUAUCCGCUGUCACUGGAUCUCCACCAUGACUCUCAGAAGAAGAAGGAAUGCUCAUUCCACCCACUGAGAUGGCUUUCAAAUGGAAAGUAGAAUCCAGCACAUAUUCUGUCUUUGGAAAAUUGCUCCAGAUGUAUCCUCAGAACAAUCCAGCCCUAUCGUCACUUUCCACAGCCACUGCUUGGCACCUGUGGUAGCUCUGAGAGACUCCGUUAUGCGUGUGGCAUCAACUGUUUUUUCUAGCAGCCUUGGGUGAGUA